rnacentral:rRNA from 1 species
UACGGGGGGGCAAGCGUUGUUCGGAAUUACUGGGCGUAAAGGGCGUCGUAGGCGGCCAACUAAGUCAGACGUGAAAUCCCUCGGCUUAACCGGGGAACUGCGUCUGAUACUGGAUGGCUUGAGGUUGGGAGAGGGAUGCGGAAUUCCAGGUGUAGCGGUGAAAUGCGUAGAUAUCUGGAGGAACACCGGUGGCGAAGGCGGCAAUCCUGGACCAAUUCUGACGCUGAGGAGCGAAAGCCAGGGGAGCAAACGGGG